UGCUGUUUUUUAAUACUAUCUUCAGUUUUAGUUUUAUUAUGCUGUCAUUCACAAUAGGCUCACAUGACUAUCAAACCCACUAGAUAUUUUGCCAAUAAGAUUUGAAAAUGUAACAACAGUAAAAUAACAUUUUCAUGAACAAAAGAAUUGUGCUUCAAGGCAUACCGAGAUCUUGUUAUGUGAGCUUUCAGUAAACCUAGUGGCUUUGCUUGUUCUCAUAACUUCUUUAGAACUUUCUUCAUGGAAUUGACAGUGAGUUUUUAAUAAUUUCAUGUAUACAUUAUUUUUCAAAUAAUAGUAUUCCUUGAGGUAAAUUUGAUUUAUGUUAGUAUAAUAAUGAGUAGAGCAUCUGCACCAAAUAUUAAUUUAAAUGAAAAUGUAGUUUUAUAGCUAACUUUUAGUCAUUCAGCUCACUAAAGUUUACUCAUCUAGGCUUCCUGUAGAGGCAGUAGGGAGGAGAGCAGUUAUUUACUACACUAAUGGUAAGUGCUUAAGAUAGGUGAGAUGAAUCACUAGCCCAGGGUGUCUCUGUCUUUCUCUGCUAGUUACAGAAGGAACCUACGUCAUUUUGGACAAAACGGGUGUCUUCUGGGUGACUGUAACAGCGAGAGAAAUUUAAUGUCUGAUAUUCUUGACUUUCAGCUGAUAAUUUCCCAUCAUUCUGUUAGCAGAUUUUUACAUAAUGUCAGCCUUAUUGACAAAAUAGUGCAUGUAUCUUAAGGUUUGCAUGUAAAAUAUUAACAAACGAAAGACCAAACAGCAUACACAUGCACAGUUUCCAUUUUUCACAAAUUUACAUGGAGCUUCAUACAAUCAGGAAAGAUUGCUGAAUGUGGAGAUGAAGUUGAAAGGGAAAGCACGGGAAAAAUGGUUCCUAAUUUUUCCCACUUGAAAUAAUUGGCAUUAAAAUAUAUAUUUCUUUCUAGAGAUGUGAACUUUUAGAAAUUGUCACUUCCAGAAAUUUUUUCUGUAGAGCUUACAUCAAACCUUAGUCAAAUUGGUAUGCCACUGGCACUUAGGACAGUUGUUUCAAAAUAGUUUUUAAAUUAGUUGUCUGUAGUUAUUUGCAGAACGUGUUACAUUAACAUAGUCUCUUCUUCACUAUAGUGUUAGUCUUGCAGGUCACUUCUCUGUUGAAUCCAGUAGUUUCCCCACUCCCAUCACUUCUCCCACAACAUAAAAAGAAUGCAUAAAGAACAGUUAUGCUGGCCUGGGGUUGCUGCUUCUCCUUGGUAGUCCAGGGUUUACAGCAGUGACAGGGAGACUGGUCUGGAUCUACACAAUACUUAAGUAAUUUACUGUUCUUAGUACAGAUUGCUGAAAUUUAAUUUGAGCUGAUCAGCUGAAAGUAGAAUGUCUUUGCUCACUAAAAUAAUUUCAGGUACAUCUGUAUCUGAAUUCUCUAGUUGUUCUUAGCACAGGUGGAAUCCAGUUACAUUGUUUGGUUAUGCAGCUACUUUCUUCAGGUGUUGGUAUGCAAAAUAGGAGUAGUGAUAAUAUUUUUGGUAUUUUAUUAAAUGUUAUUCAUUAGUUUUAAUGACUAACAUAAAGCUUAAACUUAACACAUUAUUAGAAAGUCUACAUAAAAUCUCACAGGUUUAUGCAGCACCUCACUGCAGAGGAAUGCUAAACAUACUUUGCCGUGGUAACUUGUAGCUGUGUUAUGCACCUUCUGAAUACAGGCAGCAUCCAAAUUAUUAGUGUGUGCUUGUAUAUGGAUGGUAUAUGUACCUGGCAUGCUGCUUGCUGCUUUUCUUCAGCAGCUGUCCUGUAAAUAGCUGGAUUUUUAAUUAAUAUUUAAUAACCCUAAAUAGGGUAAUUAGGGUCUGGGAUGGAGGGGAUGGAGUUAACAUUUAAUGCAGACAGUUCUAUAUCAGAAAGUUGUUUUUACUUUAUGCUACAGAAAAGCUUUUCAGACAGGUUGUGCAGUCCUCAGUGUCUGGCUUGCCAUUUGCCUUCUGUUAAACAUCCUUUGCUUGCUUUAUGAAUUUUCAUUUGGAAAAGUAAAAGCAUUUCACAGGUGGAAAGCCAGAAUUUUUGCCUUGUGAGGUACUUCUGAUGGUAAAAGUACCUGUCUGACUUAAACAUUCAGCACAAUAAAUGUGCUUCUUAAAAAUAAAAAUUUGGAAUUCUGUAUGUAGCUCUAAUGAUUUGAAUUUUAAUCCCCAUAACUCCUGGUUUUAUAUAGAUUUUCUAUGCAGGUAGGUUAAGAUUUAUUUUGGUUGUUGAAGAAAUGAUUAUGUAUUGCUUUAUAGUCCUGUAUCUUUGUAAAGAAAUAUGCUUUUUAUUCCUUAGGAUAGCUUAAACUGAUACAUAAAAAUGAAAAAGAUGGCAUUACUUUGGUUAAUUCUUUAGAGAUCAUGUAGCUGUUUGUUCAGGUUCUGAAGCUUUCUGAAAUGUUCGUCAAACAGAGUGUAGGCUGUCCAAUGCCUCCUUGAAAAAUGUUGAAGUACUUGAGUUUUGUUUGUAUUGUAGAGGGAACACUGUGCACAAACACUUCAUUAUUAUUUUUUUUUAACUGCAUUAUCUCUGUAAAAUCCUGGGUUCUUUGCCCUAGGGAGCCAGACUUCUAGAGCACACAUGACAUUCCUCUUCUUGGGAUAGCACUUAUCCAUGCUUUCAGUAGAAAGAAUAGUUUCAUUCUUUUCUCAACAUCUGCAGAUUUUUGCCACCGGAGUCUUCAUUCAGGCUGUAAAGCAGAAGUUUUCGCCAACAGUAAGAUUAGUUGCUCUGAAGUGAGAUGGACACCACUUGAUCAGUGUAGCCUUUGGCCUAUAUAGUUCAGCUGGGAGUUGGUUGUUGAGGUGACUUAAUAGGUUUUCAGUAUUCUUAUAGUCAUUAUUAGGUCUUUGACAAGAAGGAAACAAAGAUUUGAUAAGGUGUACCAUACUCAAGUUUCAUUUACAAAACUUGCCAUAAUAGUGUGCUGUCAUGGAUAAUUAAAAGCAGGCUGUAUUAAUCUGACAAAAGUAGGUUUUGCUCAAUCCCUUUUUUUUCAGUUCUUUACCUGUUAAUUAGAAAAUUAGUUCCUUGGUACUUCAGUCACUGCAGUGGAGUUGGAAGAUUCAUAAUUUUGUCUUUAUGAAACUAAUGGCUCCUUUUUAAAAAUAUGGUAGCAAAAACUGUG